GCCCCGAUGGCCGAGCGGUCUAAGGCGUGAGACUCCUGAUCUCAAUGGGUAACACCAGCGUGGGUUCGAAUCCCACUCGGGGCA
rfam:Caenorhabditis brenneri strain PB2801 C_brenneri-6.0.1_Cont372.11, whole genome shotgun sequence.